AGAGCGAACGCUGGCGGCAGGCUUAACACAUGCAAGUCGAGCGGGCGUAGCAAUACGUCAGCGGCAGACGGGUGAGUAACGCGUGGGAACAUACCUUUUGGUUCGGAACAACACAGGGAAACUUGUGCUAAUACCGGAUAAGCCCUUACGGGGAAAGAUUUAUCGCCGAAAGAUUGGCCCGCGUCUGAUUAGCUAGUUGGUGAGGUAAUGGCUCACCAAGGCGACGAUCAGUAGCUGGUCUGAGAGGAUGAUCAGCCACAUUGGGACUGAGACACGGCCCAAACUCCUACGGGAGGCAGCAGUGGGGAAUAUUGGACAAUGGGCGCAAGCCUGAUCCAGCCAUGCCGCGUGAGUGAUGAAGGCCCUAGGGUUGUAAAGCUCUUUUGUGCGGGAAGAUAAUGACGGUACCGCAAGAAUAAGCCCGGCUAACUUCGCGCCAGCAGCCGC
rnacentral:rRNA from 1 species